AUUGAAAGCUGGCGGCAGGCCUCACAAAUGCAAGUCGAACGAGUGGCGGACGGGUGAGUAAUGUCUGGGAAACUGACUGAUGGAGGGGGAUAACUACUGGAAACGGUAGCUAAUACCGCAUACCAUCAGAUGUGCCCAGAUGGGAUUCUCUUGUUGGAGGGGUAAAGGAUCACAAAGGCGACGAUCACUAGCUGGUCUGAGAGGAUGACCAGCCACACUGGAACUGCGACACGGUCCAGACUCCUACGGGAGGCAGCAGUGGGGAAUAUUUCACUAUGGGCGCAAGCCUGAUGCAGCCAGGCCGCGUGUAUGAAGAAGGCCUUCGGGUUGUAAAGUACUUUCAGCGGGGAGGCGUUACCCGCAGAAGAAGCACCGGCUAACUCCGUGCCAGCCGCCGCGGUAAUUC
rnacentral:rRNA from 1 species